rnacentral:rRNA from 1 species
GUGGAUUAGAUACCCUAGUAGUCCACGCCGUAAACGAUGAAUACUAGGUGUCGGGCGUCAAAACUCGGUGCCGCAGCAAACGCAUUAAGUAUUCCGCCUGGGGAGUACGCACGCAAGUGUGAAACUCAAAGGAAUUGACGGGGACCCGCACAAGCAGCGGAGCAUGUGGUUUAAUUCGAAGCAACGCGAAGAACCUUACCAGGUCUUGACAUCCCUCUGAAGUAGCCUUAGCCGGCUAUGUCCUUCGGGACAGGGGAGACAGGUGGUGCACGGUUGUCGUCAACU